GACGAACGCUGGCGGCGCGCCUAACACAUGCAAGUCGAACGAGAGAUGAGGAGCUUGCUCUUCAAAUCGAGUGGCGAACGGGUGAGUGACGCGUGAGGAACCUGCCUCAAAGAGGGGGACAACAGUUGGAAACGACUGCUAAUACCGCAUAAGCCCACGGCUCGGCAUCGAGCAGAGGGAAAAGGAGCAAUCCGCUUUGAGAUGGCCUCGCGUCCGAUUAGCUAGUUGGUGAGGUAACGGCCCACCAAGGCGACGAUCGGUAGCCGGACUGAGAGGUUGAACGGCCACAUUGGGACUGAGACACGGCCCAGACUCCUACGGGAGGCAGCAGUGGGGGAUAUUGCACAAUGGGGGAAACCCUGAUGCAGCGACGCCGCGUGGAGGAAGAAGGUCUUCGGAUUGUAAACUCCUGUUGUUGAGGAAGAUAAUGACGGUACUCAACAAGGAAGUGACGGCUAACUACGUGCCAGCAGCCGCGGUAAAACGUAGGUCACAAGCGUUGUCCGGAAUUACUGGGUGUAAAGGGAGCGCAGGCGGGAGAACAAGUUGGAAGUGAAAUCCAUGGGCUCAACCCAUGAACUGCUUUCAAAACUGUUUUUCUUGAGUAGUGCAGAGGUAGGCGGAAUUCCCGGUGUAGCGGUGGAAUGCGUAGAUAUCGGGAGGAACACCAGUGGCGAAGGCGGCCUACUGGGCACCAACUGACGCUGAGGCUCGAAAGUGUGGGUAGCAAACAGGAUUAGAUACCCUGGUAGUCCACACCGUAAACGAUGAUUACUAGGUGUUGGAGGAUUGACCCCUUCAGUGCCGCAGUUAACACAAUAAGUAAUCCACCUGGGGAGUACGACCGCAAGGUUGAAACUCAAAGGAAUUGACGGGGGCCCGCACAAGCAGUGGAGUAUGUGGUUUAAUUCGACGCAACGCGAAGAACCUUACCAAGUCUUGACAUCCCUUGACGAUGCUGGAAACAGUAUUUCUCUUCGGAGCAAGGAGACAGGUGGUGCAUGGUUGUCGUCAGCUCGUGUCGUGAGAUGUUGGGUUAAGUCCCGCAACGAGCGCAACCCUUAUGGUCAGUUACUACGCAAGAGGACUCUGGCCAGACUGCCGUUGACAAAACGGAGGAAGGUGGGGAUGACGUCAAAUCAUCAUGCCCUUUAUGACUUGGGCUACACACGUACUACAAUGGCGUUAAACAAAGAGAAGCAAGACCGCGAGGUGGAGCAAAAUUCAGAAACAACGUCCCAGUUCGGACUGCAGGCUGCAAUUCGCCUGCAGGAAUUGGGAAUUGUUAGUAAUCGUGAAUCAGCAUGCCACGGUGAAUACGUUCCCGGCCCUG
rnacentral:rRNA from 1 species